rnacentral:ncRNA from 1 species
GCGAAGGUUGCAUCAUAUUGAUGCACAAAAGAGAAUCCGGUGAGAAUCCGGAGCGAUACCGUCACUGUGUAUGGGAGUUGCUUUUCAGAAACCACUGGGCGACCGGGAAGGGAAAAGCGGCGAUGAUCGAAGUCAGGAGAACUGCCUUGGCGU